rnacentral:ncRNA from 1 species
UACAUUAGGUUCUAUAAGAAUAAUAGGGAAAUGGGUGAAAAUCCCAUACAGCCCCCGCUACUGUAAGUGAUGAUAGAAUCAGCUUAUGCCACUGGAGAAAUCUGGGAAGGUGCUGAGAGUAAAAUGAGUCACAAGUCAGGAGACCUGCCUAAUAGUAUU